GUGAAUGUUGUGGUCUGAAGGGGAAUGUUGAAGGGGAAUGUUGGGGUCUGAAGGGGAUUGUUGAAGGCGAAUGUUGGGGUCUGAAGGGGAUUGUUGAAGGCGAAUGUUGGGGUCUGAAUGCGAAUGUUGAAGGUGAAUGUUGGGGUCUGAAGGGGAAUGUUGAAGGUGAAUGUUGGGGUCUGAAGGGGAUUGUUGAAGGCGAAUGUUGGGGUCUGAAGGGGAAUGUUGAAGGUGAAUGUUGGGGUCUGAAGGGGAAUGUUGAAGGUGAAUGUUGGGGUCUGAAGGGGAAUGUUGAAGGCGAAUGUUGGGGUCUGAAGGGGAAUGUUGAAGGGGAAUGUUGGGGUCUGAAGGGGAUUGUUGAAGGCGAAUGUUGGGGUCUGAAGGGGAUUGUUGAAGGCGAAUGUUGGGGUCUGAAUGCGAAUGUUGAAGGUGAAUGUUGGGGUCUGAAGGGGAAUGUUGAAGGUGAAUGUUGGGGUCUGAAGGCGAAUGUUGAAGGUGAAUGUUGGGGUCUGAAGGCGAAUGUUGAAGGCGAAUGUUGGGGUCUGAAGGGGAAUGUUGAAGGCGAAUGUUGGGGUCUGAAGGGGAAUGUUGG
ensembl:lncRNA